rnacentral:misc_RNA from 1 species
GAUGAAGAACGUAGCGAAAUGCGAUAAGUAAUGUGAAUUGCAGAAUUCAGUGAAUCAUCGAAUCUUUGAACGCACAUUGCGCCCGCUAGUAUUCUGGCGGGCAUGCCUGUCCGAGCGUCAUUUCAACCCUCAAGCCCCCGGGCUUGGUGUUGGGGAUCGGCGAGCCUCCGCGCCCGCCGUCCCCUAAAUCUAGUGGCGGUCUCGCUGUAGCUUCCUCUGCGUAGUAGCACACCUCGCACUGGGAAACAGCGCGGCCACGCCGUUAAACCCCCAACUUCUGAACGUUUGACCUCGGAUCAGGUAGGAAUACCCGCUGAACUUAAGCAUAUCAUUAAGCGGAGGA